UGGUGGAGUGAUUUGUCUGGUUAAUUCCGUUAACGAACGAGACCUCGACCUGCUAAAUAGGUUGGCGAACUCUUGGUUCGUGCAAGCUUCUUAGAGGGACUAUCGGUGUGUAGCCGAUGGAAGUUCGAGGCAAUAACA
rnacentral:rRNA from 1 species